ensembl:lncRNA
UACCUGUGCAGUGCCGCCACACUGUGCAGUUUUUUUCUCACAGAGAUAUGCUCUCUUCAAUGUUAAGAAAGAAAAAUAAUUUUUGAGUAUUUCAAUAUUUAAAAAAAAGAAGAAGAAAUUAGUGUUAAAUAUUUCAAUAGUACAAUGGGCUGUAGAACUCGAGACGUUUUCUGUAUCGACUCGACUUGCCUUGGAUCUGUUGACAUUUGUACUCAGACUUGGGCAUUGGUCUUGCUCAAUAUGGUCUUAGUCUUGAUUGAGAGUAAAAAUAAUUUGCCUUUUCUUUUUGCAUACACAAAUUUAGGCAAGUAGUAACUCCUUGUAGAAAACCAGCCUGAUCAUCAUAACACUCAUAUGAAGCCAAAUAGCUGAAGGAAAGGCCUGUGGAAAUUAAGGAUUUGAAUUGUCCUUGACCCCCACUUGGUCUUGACUCAAACUCCUUAUCUUGGCCUUCAAAAUGGCAGUCUUGAUUAUAGCUCUAUACUGUAUUUUAGUAGUCAUCAAUCUAGCUUCAGUAAACAUUAUCAGAUUUAUAAACACUCCAGUCUGCCAGGGGGCAGUGGAGAUAGUUACAGGUCAUAUGUGCUAUUAGUUAUGCAUAAAAAAGCCAUUAUUUCAUUUUUGUCUGGCAAACUGUAUAAAAAAUUAAGCAUGAUGCAAACCUAUAUGAAUAAAUCAGGAAUAUAAUAGCAACUAAGCUAAGCAUGGAAUAGUCCUCAAACAUCCAGCAAUACUCCAUACUGUCCAUAACCUGUUCCACAUUUUCACCAAGUAAAAUUGUGACUUUCUAUAAAUUUAUACAAAAUAUCUUUCAUCUUUGUGCUCAGACAAGAGACUUCUGUUCAUUUCUUAAAGGUCAGUUAUGAAUUUAUACAUGAAUGAUUUACAUUAAUAUCAUCUUUAAUAUUUAACGUACCUUAAAGGGAGGUAAAUUAUUUUAGUUGGAGAUUGGUGCAACAAUUAGACAUAACUUUUAAUAAUAAUUCAUUUGUCGGUUUAUCUCCCAGGACGGAGAUAUAAUCUCAGUCAUGUUCAAGUGAGUAGUGAACUUAUACAGAUGUGUGACUAACGCAGUAAAGCACCAAUCAGUCUGUUUUUCAGAUCGCAAAAUGGCAAAACAGGCAACUAAUACGACAAAAAAAGACAUUUAUUGUGAUUACAGGGAAAAAAAAUCUUUUAAAUUUUGUGUAUAUGGUAUGACAUUUCCUCUACAGAAAAGAUUUUGGUCAAACAGUAAUAAAUAAAUAAAUAACUCUCAAAUAUUUAUAUUAUUAUAAUACAUUUCAGUUAAAUAAAAACGAGCUAAUGAUCUAGCUAAUUUUAGGUCAUGUUUUAGCAAAAAUAUUUCAGGUAAUGUUCUAGCAGGAAUGUUUUAGGUAAUGUUCUAGCAGGAAUGUUUUAGGUAAUGUUCCAGCAGGAAUGUUUUAGGUAAUGUUCUAGCAGGAAUGUUUUAGGUAAUGUUUUAGCAGGAAUGUUUUAGGUAAUGUUCCAGCAGGAAUAUUUUAAUUAAUGUUCUAGCAAGAAUAUUUUUAAGUAAUGUUCUAGCAAGAAUAUUUCAAGUAAUGUUCUAGCAAGAAUAUUUUAGGUAAUGUUCUAGCAGGAAACUUCAGGUAAUGUUCUAGCAGGAAACUUUAGGAAUUUUUUAAGGCAUUGUAGCAGACACCCUUGUCUGCCAUGGGCGACUUACCAUUAUCUCAUUUAUACAACUGAGCAGUUGAGGGUUAAGGGCCUAGUUCAAGGGCCCAGUAGUGGCAGCUUGGCAAUCUGGAAUUUGAACUCAAACCUUCUGAUCAGUAGUCCAUCAUCAUAACCACUGAGCUACUACUACCCUGAUUCUGAUAUUCAUGAAAUCAGAAAAUUGCCAAGAGAGAAAUGUUAAUUGAUUCUAUUUGAUAGUUUUUUAAUGUUGAAAUGUUUGAUUUAGUGUGUAGAUGCUCUUUCCUCAUUUGAUAACCAUGUCACACAUUAUUCAAAACAUCAUAACAUGGGUGUUGUUAUGAUGUUUUAAAUAAACAUCAUACUCGCUACCCGAUCAGUAGCGUGCAACUUCAGUAAUGCAUUUCUCAGGAACAACCCAUGUGCAUGCCAUGAUUAUCUGAUCUGACUGUAGUAUUUUCACUUUUCAUUCAUUUUCAUUCAUGCCCAACAAUUCACUCGAAUUGUUUACUGGAACUACAGCUAUGUAUGGGGCAUGAAUAGCAGACCAAUUAAAAUCAACUCAUGUCAAAAGGGAUCCAUCAUUGCAAAAUACAGAUCACUGCAACACAUCAGAAAAAAGCACUAUCAUCCUGAAAACAUCUCAAAUAGUUUUAGAGGCGGAUUCAGAUUCAUUUUACUUACAGCGUCAAAUAUAAACAUACCAUCAAACAUAAAAACCCAUAUCAGUGAUAUUAGUAAUAAUAAUUAACACUUGCAUUAAUUUGGGUUUAUUUCAGUGUUAACUAAAUAAUAAAUGAUCACAUUAAUGAAUCCAUCUAUGAAUGAAAAACAUUAUGCAAACUUCAAUAAUUCAUCAUUAGUGAUGUUAGUGUUAACAAAACCAUUAACACAAAAUGUUUUAAAAUAAAAUUAGGAACACAACUAAUAUGAAAUAAUAUUCUUCAUAACAUAAUUUAUUAGAAUAAUUUCUAUAUUCUAUAUAUAUGGGGGGCCUUUAAAUAAACAUUACUUUAAUAAAUCGUAAUAAAUGUAAAUGUAAUCUUAAUAAAUAAAACUGGCGCUUCUCUAAUGUGCAUUAUUAUGACUCGUGUAAGAGCGCCCCCUACAGACAAAUUGUGCCGCUCGAGACACCUAGUUUAAGUUCAGAGGAAAAGUUUACACACCCCACGGUUUUUAAAAUUGAAAUAUUAUAAAUACAAACCUGUAUUUGAUCAUUUAUAUACAAAGAGAGAACAGACUGUCAAAAUGUUAAAAUUGUGUCUCUCUGAUAUAAUGAAAAUCUUUCAGCUAUUCAUUAAAAAGACAAACAGAUUAUUUGUUUAUUAGGUCCAGUGUUUAGUUAAGACCUUGUGUAAGUGUGUGUGUUAUGAAAUAGAUUUUUCCAACCCUGGCUAAUUUGUCAUAAAAAUGCAUUUUUAUAUCGUUUUAUGAAUAGUUUAAUAAACACAAAUGCAUGAAGUG